rnacentral:rRNA from 1 species
GACGAACGUUGGCGGCGUGCUUAAUACAUGCAAGUCAACUGAAGCAGUGGUAGCAAUAUCGCUGUGGAGGUGGCGCACGGGUGAGUAACACGUAGGUAGUCUGCCUUCAGGUCUGGCAUAACUCCGGGAAACCGGGGCUAAUAGCAGAUGAUGCAGCGGCUCGACAUCGAGACAGUUGUUAAAGCUAUGGCGCCUGAAGAUGAGCCUGCGUCUGAUUAGCUAGUUGGCGGGGUAACGGCCCACCAAGGCAACGAUCAGUAGCUGGUCUGAGAGGAUGAUCAGCCACACUGGAACUGAGACCCGGUCCAGACUCCUACGGGAGGCAGCAGUAAGGAAUAUUGCUCAAUGGGAGAAAUCCUGAAGCAGCAACGCCGCGUGAGGGACGAAGGGCUUUUGCUUGUAAACCUCUGUAGUGAGAGAAAAAAAUCCCAAUCUUUGGGACAUGAUGGUAUCUCAAAAGUAAGCCCCGGCUAACUACGUG